rnacentral:tRNA from 1 species
GGCAGUACAGAAAGCGGUAACUUUCUGGUCUGGUAAACCCAAGAGACUUUACCGAGUCGUCGUCUUGGAUUGCGGGUUCAACUCCCUGCUACUGCCACCA